rnacentral:tRNA from 1 species
GGGCAGUUAUCCAAGCGGCCAACGGGCACUGACUGUAAAUCAGCUGGCGCAAGCCUUCGUAGGUUCGAAUCCUACACUGCCCA